rnacentral:rRNA from 1 species
GUUUGAGUUAAUCUAUGCUAUUAGGUGGAUGACUUGGCUCUGACGCCGAUGAAGGAUGUGACAAGCAGCAAUAUGCCUUGGCGAGACGCAUGUAGUCUUUGAACCAAGGAUUUCCGAAUGCUACUUAGUGCAAAAUCAGUAAUGAUGGGGAACGCAGGGAAUUGAAGCGUCUUAGUACCUGCAGGAAAAGAAAUCAAUAGAGAUGCUGUUAGUAAGAGCGACUGAAAGCAGUAUAAGGCAAACUGAACCCUACCAGUAAUGGCAAGGGGAUGUGGUGUUAAAGACAUUCUUUUAGUCCGAUCUCAGUUGUUAGUAGAAGUUUUCUGGAAAGAAGCACCGUAGAGGGUGAAAGUCCCGUAUAAAAACCUGGGAGGAUGUGAGUGUAUCUUGAGUAUGGUCCGCCGAAUACCGGAUCAGAAUUUGGGAGUCAUCAACUUCCAACCUUAAAUACGUUCAGAGUCCGAUAGAGAAUAAGUACCGUGAGGGAAAGUUGAAAAGUACCCUUAACAGGAAGCGAAAAGACCUGAAACCUAAUAGCGAUCGUGGAAUGCAGCUUUUAGGAGUUGCAUUGUCCGUUUUGAAUAACGUGCCAGGGAGUGCGCCAUGAGUGGCAAGACUAAUACUAAAGAAGGAGUCGAAGGGAAACCAACAAGCCCGCAGGAAACGAGGGGCGUGGUAUGAAAAUGCCAGUAGUCACUUGUGCGCGACCCGAAGCCGUUCGAUCUAUCCCUGGGUAGGGUGAAAUGUGGGUAAAACCGCAUGGAGGCCCGCAGAGGUGCUACGAGCAAGUGUUCUUCUAACUUGGGGAUAGGGGUAAAAAGCCAAUCGAGAACGGCGAUAGCUGGUUCCUGCCGAAAUUGGCCGUAGUCAAGUCUUGGAUGAGAUUGUUAGAGAGGUAGAGAUACUGAUUUGGGGUACAGGCUCCGAAAGGGGUCGGCUCCUUGUCAAACUCCGAAUAUUCUGACGUCGUAGAUUCCGGGAAACGGGUGCUCGGGGUAAACUUGAGUACCGAGAGGGGAACAACCCAAACUACAGUUAAGGUCCCAAAAUAUUGAUUAAGUGUGAAAGGGUGAAAAGUGUCUAUAACCCAAAACAGCGAGGAGGUUGGCUUAGAAGCAGCCACCCUUUAAAAAGUGCGUAACAGCUUACUUGUCUAGGUUAUAGGCCUUGAAAAUGGACGGGGCUAAAUCAAUUACCGAUACUGUUGACAUCCGAAAGGAUUGUGGUAGGCAGGCGUUCUGUUUGGGCAGAAGCUUUUUCGAAAGAAGAAGUGAACCAAAUAGAAAUGAGAAUCCUGGUGAUAGUAGGAUCAGAGCGGUGUGAGAAUCACCGCCACCGAAAGGGCAAGGGUUCCUUGACAAUGCAGUUCAGUCAAGGGUUAGUCAGUCCUAACUGGCCUCCUAACUGGAGGAACCGGGAAAGGGAAAAUGGUUAAUAUUCCAUUACUGCUUAAGUAUGUGCGGUAACGCAAGUCGCGUUUCUGACACUUGGGGCUAAGUUGACGUAGAUUGUCUUCUGCGCUAAUAGGGACAAAUCAGAGGAGUUUUGUAAUGAAGAGAACCUGAUUAAAUUCUAGAAUGGUAGACCGUAUGGUUUAUUCAGCUGAUGCCUUGAGGCCGUGAAAAAGGAACACGAAAAAAUCUUAAGUGUCUGUACCAAGAACCAGCACUGGUGCCCCUAGGUUAGUAGCCUAAGGUGUGAAGGAUUAACUCGAUCGAGGGAACUCGGCAUAUUGGCCCCGUGUCUUAGGUAUAAGGGGUCCCUGCGAUUGUAUUCUUAUGAGUGCAAUUACAGGGUUCAAUAACUAGGGAGGUCCGACUGUUUAACAAAAACGUAACCUCCUGCUAACCCGUAAGGGCUUGUACAGAAGGUGACGUCUGCCCAGUACAGGUAUCUAAAACUCCUUUUCAAGGGAGCUAAGGACCUGCAAACGGCGGGGGUAACUAUAACUCUCUUAAGGUAGCGAAAUACCUUGUCGUUUGAUUGACGACUUGCAUGAAUGGCGUAACGAGAUCUCCACUGUCCCCGAUCGAAGUCCUCCGAAUGUUCUUUACUGGUGCAAAGGCCAGUGAUCUCCAGUGGGAAGCGAAGACCCCGUGAAACUUUACUGUAUCCUGUUGUUGUGAUGUGAAAGUUGCUGUAGAGCGUAGGUGGGAGUUGUUAAAGCUUAGUCGCCAGAUUAAGUGUAGACGCAAAUGUAACACCACCCUGCGAUUUUUACAUUGCUUACCGAUAGCAAUAUUGGGACAUCUGCAGGUGGACAGUUUGGCUGGGGCGGCACCCUGUUGAAAAGAUAUCAAUAGGGCCCAAAGGUUGACUCAAACGGGUCAGAAAUCCGUAGUAGAGUGCAAAGGCAAAAGUCAGCCUGACUGUAUUCUUAACAAGAUAGAAUCCAGAGACGAAAGUCGGGCUUAGCGAACCCCUAUGUCCUCAUUGAUGGGGGCUAGGUAUGACCGAAAAGUUACUCCGGGGAUAACAGAGUUGUCGCGCCCGAGAGCUCACAUUGAAUUUAGUUUCGAAAGAGAUUAUUUUCAGAGUUUAUCGACGGCGCGGCUUGCUACAUCGAUGUCGGCUCAUCCUAUCCUGGUCGUGCAGAAGCGACCAAGGGUGAAGGUGUUCACUUAUUAAAAGGGUUCGUGAGCUGGGUUCAGAACGCUGUGAGGCAGUUUGUUUGAUAUCUACUGGGGAUGUUGGUGUCUGAAGAGAAGGACCUUCUAGUACGAGAGGAACGAAGUGUUCGAGGCCACUGGUCAACCGGUUAUCCGACAGGGUAAGCCGGGCAGCUACGCCUUAAGGGAUAAGAGCUGAAAGCAUCUAAGUUCGAAGCCCCCUUUGAAAAGAGACACCAUUGGAACGCGAAAAGAAGAUUCGCUUGAUGGAGUCGGUGUGUAAGCACGAAGGUAACGACGUGUUCAGCAUGCGACCCCCAACGUGUCCUUUAACUCAAAU